rnacentral:lncRNA from 1 species
UGCUCUGGUUAACGACCAACUGCUCAGGAGAACAGAAGCACAGAGAGUGGACACUUUUCUGUUUGAUUUGGGUUUUUUAGAUUGCCAAUUUCACAGUGAGGAUAAUACAUCGUGAUGCAGCCAGCUGCAGAGUGACUUGCUCUAUCACUCCCUCUCUCUUCCUCUCCAAAGGAAAAAUCCCCUGUCUGUAUUGCUCAGUGUGAUCGAAGGCCCCAAGUCUGAGAGGCGGAACACACAAUGCAAAAGAAUGCCCGGGUCGGGGACAGCCAGAGGGACAACGUAUAGGUUUUCACGUAUUCAGACGUUCCUGAGUUCUGGACAUACCAUAUUUUCCAGAAUACAUUGACAAGCAUAUAGGGGCAGCAGGUAGCCUAGUGGUUAGAGUGUUGGGCCAGUAACCAAAAGGCUGCUGGAUUGAAUCCCGGAGAUGACAAGGGAUCAGGUGGCACAUGCAAUGUAAGAUCUCCAGUUUUGCAGCAUUCAAGUACAAAUACGUGACAACCACAACAUUGUGAGUGCCAAAAUGGCAAAGACCUUCUCAUAUUGAAGACAAGAUGUCGUUCAGGCCCUUCCUGUGAAGGACUUCAAAGAAAGAUGGCCAGCCCUGUUUGAGCCCACUCAGAUUAAGGAAGAGUUCAGAAGAAUUACAACUGUUGCUCUUGAGUCCACCUUUAUCCAGAAGCUGGACGAAUAUACACCAAAACUAUUGGACUUGUUUAAGUCAAAACGAGGUGCUGUAAAGUGCAACACCAUCCAGGAAAGAAGAGACAGUGUGAUCCGUGGCCUGAUCAUAUACCUUGGUGAGAGGUUUGAAGACCUUAUUACAGAAUACAAGGAUGCUAACGACGCCAUGAUCCGAGAGGACCUCGUUCAGCAUGUGAUGAAGGUGUUCACUGUGAAGGAUCUGCACCAGAAUAUAGAGCAUGUGAUCUACAAUCGAAGGAGCAGAGGUCCUGGCAGGUAUUUGCAGUGUUACAGUCAUGUAACAGGUACCCAAAAUAACUGAAAUAAGGUACCCAAAAGAACUGAAAUAUACCUUUGAGGUGUUCCAAAAAGUAUUCUUAGAACUUGAUGAUCUCAGGACCUUUCCACGGUUCCAAGCUCUAAAGAUGAAGUUACUUGUUUUCAGAGAUAUCUAUGAGAACUCUCAAAGGGCCACUCACAAACUGUGGUCUAAACCCUACUCAGUAAGCUGAUAAGCUAGUUGCUAGGUGGUAUAGGAGCUACAGUUUACAUGAUGUUCUUUUUCAAGUGAAGUCAUAAGAGACAUUGUUAAUUCCUGGUUAAAAAAACUGCUUUGUUUUAAAAGUUACUUCAUAUGCACUAGUGAAUUUCUGAGAUUAUUUGUAGUCAGGUGCAAGCUAUCUGGAUGCAACUUUACCUAAGGAGGCAAGGUGGAGUUGUACCCAGAAUGCUUAUACCUGUCAAAAUAAUAUGUCCAUAUGGGCUUCACUAGUGCAAAUGGAGUCAGGUUUAAGGGACAAUUUGGCAUAUAUUUUGUAACAAUAUGUGCAAUGUAUGUUUUGAAAAGCCAUGUUUUGAUUAAUCUAAAACAGUUUGAAUGAGGAGGUAUUUGAGCUAAAGUUCAUAUUGUGCUUUGUGUAAAGUCUAUUAAGAUAAAUCGUUAAUUUACGUUUCUGUUAAAAUAUCGCUUUGAUGUUAAGGGGCACACAGACCAGGGAAUUCUUGCUAAAAUGUACAAGAUGUGAGGUCUAAGUGCUAAUCCCAAACUAUCACCUAAACUUUAUGCAGCUGUGAAGAUCUGAAAUGAUUUGUAGUCAGGUGCAAGCUAUCUGGAUGUUAUACCCAGAAUGCUUACAGAUUACAAAAUAAUGAGCUCCACAAAUGCUUAAGGAGUAGGGUUUAAUUUGAGAUUGAAGUUUGAAGAAAACCUUUAUUCAAAAUAAAGUUGUUGAAGUUUGAAGUUGAACACUGUUGUUUCUUUUUGCAUAUUCCCUUCUAUAGAAAAAAAUAAAAAAACGUAAAUUAUCCCAAGUAUAUUGAGGUAACUAUUUGCAUCAGCUUUUUAAGUAUAGUUGUGAGUAUAUAUUUGAGUAGUAGGAACCCAAUUUAAAUACAUUUUACUAACCUG